UCACACACACUUAAGUGUGUGCGUGUGUCGCCUGGAACAAAGAAGAACAAACCCAAACCCUCAAAAAAUCACAAAAUCGGUAAAUUGGAAGAGAAUUCAUGGUCCGAAUCACUGCAUGUACACAUAGAAACGUUCAUCUAAGCUAGACAAUCGAAUGGGGUGAAAGAGGAAGACGCAAGCCACUCCGGAACGCAAUCAAAACACGAUAAAGGUAAAGCUACUUGAUGGAUGGCAUAUUUGGACCGAACACACUUGUGAUGCACGCUUCCGCGAAGUUGCUAGUUAUGGUCUAAACUUUUGUUAAAUGUUUCUUUUGUUAAAAACGGGUCUUAUGUAAGUAACAUGAUCCGGUAGUUCUUAGAUCUUGAACUUGUAGUUAAAAAAAAUUGUAUGGGUUGUAAACUCUUUUUGUAACUAUUUCGUUAAUUAUGUCGAAGUAAAUGCAGAAUUUUACUUAUGAA